UGUGACAAAAUACCCGACAAGAAGCAACGGA
rnacentral:piRNA from 1 species